AAGAAAGAAGUGGACAACAUGUUAUAGAAAUCUAACCAUCAUGGAAUUGGAAAAUACCAACUUCUUUUGGACUGGAGGAUGAAAUGCUGAGAUCAUUGCUAAGUGGACCCUCAAUUUGCUGAGUGAGAGAGUUGAGGACUUAAGAUUAACAGGUCAACUGUCGGAAUGCCCCAUUCUUUCAAAAGGGACCUCAGCACACUCCUUUUCAUGAACCAUUCAUGACUCUGGGAGAAACUCAUGCUGAGGUGAUCGGACAACCAAUUCUGAGCACCUAGGACUCCAGAAUCACCAGUGGCAUUUGGAGAAGCUUGUCCAAUGAACAACAUCUCAGAUGACAGACCAACUUCAACCACGAUUGAAGAGGACAAAGGCACAAUCUCACAUGCUGGACUAUAUAAGUGUUUAGCAGGCCACAUGGCCUACUAAACUCAGAUGUACAUGGACUGUAGCUGAAGUGUGAGACUGGAGGGACAGACACAGGCGACAAUUUGUUUGGAAAUGUUCUUGUGGGAGAAAGAUCCUUAAACUCAGCGUCUAGUAGGGCCCAAUGAAGUUUAUUUUGUGUGUUGGAAUUCCUGCUGAAUUUGUCUUGUUCAAAAUCAAUCCUAGCCAAUCGAAGAGAUCCAGCAUGAACUGGACAUGACAGAGGACUUGUUCCUCGGACUUGUUCCUCACUAGCCAGUCUUCUAUGUAUGGUAAGAUGUGAAUUCUCAUCCUCCUGAGACAGGCUGCCAUUACGGUCAUGCAUUUGAUAAAUACAUGUGUGGCUGAUAAGAGGCAAAAGGGCAGUAUUGUUUAAUGGUAAUGUUGGCCUGCUACUACGAAUCUCAGUAACUUCCUGUGGCUUGGGAAAAUUGCUCCAUGAAAGUAGGCAUGCUGAAGAUCAAAGGCUGCAAACAAUCAUGGUGAUCUAAUAUGAGGAGAAUUGUAGCUAAGGUUAUCAUGCAGAAUCUCAUAUAUUUGUUGAGUCCAGAAUAGAUCUCAUAUUGGACUUGCGGAAGGUACCUCAAAAAAGGUAGCAGAGUAGAAUCCCCUUCCCCAGUGCUGAAGGGGAAGUUCCUCUAUGGCUCCAGAAAAGCAGUCUGGAUCAGCUGUAGGAGCAGUGACUUUGAGAUGGGUCCCUAAAAGGGACCAGAUGGGGGGGAUAGAUGGGAAAUGGAUAACAUAACCCCCAAUCCCAGAGUGUUUAGGACA